rnacentral:rRNA from 1 species
UACAGAGGAGCCAAGCGUUGUCCGGAUUGACUGGGCGUAAAGGGUGCGUAGGCGGCGCGGUAAGUCGGGUGUGAAAUCUCGGAGCUUAACUCCGAAACUGCAUUCGAUACUGCCGUGCUUGAGGACUGGAGAGGAGACUGGAAUUUACGGUGUAGCGGUGAAAUGCGUAGAUAUCAGGAGGAACACCGGUGGCGAAGGCGGGUCUCUGGGCCGAUACUGACGCUGAGGAGCGAAAGCGUGGGGAGCGAACAGG